UACGUAGGCAGCGAGCGUUGUUCGGAGUUACUGGGCGUAAAGGGCGUGUAGGCGGUUUUUUAAGUUUGGUGUGAAAUCUCCCGGCUCAACUGGGAGGGUGCGCCGAAUACUGAGUGACUAGAGUGCGGGAGAGGAAAGUGGAAUUCCUGGUGUAGCGGUGAAAUGCGUAGAUAUCAGGAGGAACACCGGUGGUGUAGACGGCUUUCUGGACCGUAACUGACGCUGAGACACGAAAGCCAGGGGAGCAAACGGG
rnacentral:rRNA from 1 species